rnacentral:tRNA from 1 species
CAAAUUAGAGCUUGGGAAAGUAUUUCAUUUACAUUGAAAAGACAUUAAAUAUUUAAUUAAUUUGA